rnacentral:rRNA from 1 species
UACGUAGGGGGCUAGCGUUGUUCGGAAUUACUGGGCGUAAAGCGUGCGCAGGCGGCUUCUCAAGUCAGGGGUGAAAGCCCAGAGCUCAACUCUGGAAUCGCCUUUGAGACUGAGUGGCUUGAGUACGAGAGAGGUGAGUGGAAUUCCCAGUGUAGAGGUGAAAUUCGUAGAUAUUCGCAAGAACACCAGUGGCGAAGGCGGCUCACUGGCCCGAUACUGACGCUGAGGCACGAAAGCGUGGGGAGCAAACAGG